AGAAUAUUAAGUUCUUUCAACUGCUAUUCGUAAAAUUACCCUAAUUUUUUCCAUGUUCGUUAAAAUAAUUAAAUACAAAGCGAAUAAUUUCCACUUAUAAAUUUUAUCUAUAUAUAUAAAAAUGAAUUGCUGUUCGUUAGUCUCGCUAAAACUCGAGACUGGCUGGACCGAUUUGGCUAAUUUUGGUCUUGAAUCAUUUGUAGAAGCCCAGAGGCUUAAAAGGUGGAUAAAUAUGAAAAUGUUCGGCAUGAAAUAAAAAUAACAAUUUUGUUUUCCCUUUGAUGUGUCCCCCGUCGGACGGAUUUCUUUUGUUUGUUUCUAGUUUAUUUUAUAAAAUGUUUAGGGAUUUUUAUUUAUCGAUUUAGGCAAUACGAAGUCUGCCGGGUCAGCUAGUUUUAUAUAGAUUUUAAACUAUACAAAAUCUCAUUUAGUUGUUUGUUAUGUAUUCUAAUCAAAAGUAAUUUAUCUUUAACGGCCUAGUUUAAAUUAUAGCUAGAAAUUAGGUUUUUCCAUAGCCACGGCUUUUGAAGGAUAUUAAUACAUACCUCAUUAAAUUGUUUAUUUAUUCUGAAAUAAAAUAAAGGUUACGCUUAAUUUGAACAAACAAAUAAUCACGUGGAGAAUCUAAGAGUUCAUUGACUUUAGAUGUAGCGAACAGCGUUAUUUCCUUUCAUUACGAACGUUUACCCCUUCGGAUGACUAGACGAAUAUUGGGCUGCCCUAAUUACGUGUUAGUUCGUACUUAGGGGUUAAAAUUUAAUUGUAGCAGGUUUUGUUACGGCAGCCAUGGCGUUUUUUUUUUAAAAUACGAAUGGUUUUGAAAUACUGCCAAACAUUAAAAUACUUUGAGCCUUGGUUCAGAAAUGAGAAAUCAUUUAAUAUUUGUUUCAUGUUAUGUAAUAGAUUUGUAGUGAGCCUGGUACGCUCAUGCAAACAACCGCCAAUUUGACUUGGUCGGUCCAUCGCAAGGGCAACCUUACACGCGGUCUGGUGCCUUCUACUUUGGCCUGAACGACACAGGCGCUCUAUUGAGUCAUUCCUCGCCGGGAGAUAUGUCCGAAAAAUGAUUUCUCGUGAGGUGCAUAACAUCUGCCCACAGUAAUGGUACUGAAUGACUAUCAUGACCGCUCUGACAAGAGUGAUAUGACAUAGGAAAAAUUGUAAUAGGUAAUCUAAAUAAUAAUACGUCAGGUUUAACCUCAUCGAGUGAUGUAUACAUAUAAAAUUGAGAUUACGUCCACCAGACAGGAAUGAAUUAUCUUCAGUAAACACCUAACACGUGUGCGCGAACAGUUUUUACGAAUGUUAAUAUCGUGUAAUAAAAUGAAACCAGUAAAAUAUAUUAGAUUAGCGGCUUGAGAGUGGAAACGUGAAAUUCCGUAACGAAAAAAACCUUCCACCCUUCUGUUCCUAUCUGCAGCUGAGUGCAGAGCAUCGUGCACUGUGGUAUCCAGGGCUGCACGAAUCUGGUCCGUCCAACGGGUCGGGUUCCUGCCUCUUGGUCGCUUGCCCUCGACCUUUCCAGUGACCAUCAAUUUCUCUAAGUUGUCACUGUCUUUCCUUGCGAUGUGGCCAAAGUAUUCAAGAAUCCUUCGCAUGCAAAUGGUGGAGAGUCUAGUCCGGAUCUUCAACUGAGCUAGGAUGGAUAAAUUGGUACGGCGUGCGGUCCAGGGAAUACCCAACAUCCUCCUCCAGCACCACAUUUCGAAGGCAUCAAUCCGAUUGCGGUCAGCUUUCUUUAUAGUCCAUGUCUCUGCUCCGUAUAUGAAUAUUGAAAACACUAGUGUGCGGACUAGGUUGCUCUUGGUGUUCAUAGAGAUAUUUUUGUCCUUCCAUAUUUUGUCCAGCUGAGACAUGGCACCGUACCGUACCGUACCGUACCGUACCGUUUUGGUUUGCUUCGUUGAUGGAAUGUAUUUCGUAAUUCUCUGUUUGUGAUGGAGACGUAAUGUCAAUAAUCGUUAAUAUGAGGAAAAUGAAUUGCAAUUUUUGGUAAAUGGUAUUUUUUUUUAAUAAUCAUCAUAGUCUCUUAAAGGUCGUUUGGUUAUAUCACAUCGUAAACCCCGAAAGCCUGGCGAAUGAAAAUUCUAGAGGACGGAAUUACAGAGACCAUUCAAAACGCCUAUAUCCGUUGGGGGAACUGUUAAUUGUUCAAACGAAUGCACCGCUCGGGAGGGGGCUUCACAUCCGAUAACUCGUUUAACGUUAGCUGGAAUUUUCAGAAUAAGGAAAUUCGUUUGGCGCAUAUUUUCGACUCUCUAUAACUUACUGACCCAAACCUAACUCAGCGCCUUUGGGAUCGGUACGAUAAAUUUUGUUGAAAGGGUAAUUUAGAAAAAAAUAUCGAAAUGGUCUCGGAUGUUCGUAUUUGGCAUAUUUUUUUUUAGAUGCGAACGUGAUAAUUUGAAUGGCGGGGUAUUUGCCAUGCGUAAAGUCGACGUUAUGGAUCUGGGUUUUGAAUUCGGCACUUCGAGAAUAAGAGACGUUUAGAUUAACGGUCCUUGCGAAUAUUUAGUACAUACAUAUUUUUAUUACGUAAAAUGAAUAGCUUCUAAAAUUACUUUUUAAUUUAAACAUAGGUUAUGUUGAAAAUACAAGUCUGCAUCUAAAAACUACAUAUAACAAAAGCUCGAAUUAUUGCAUAACGGCUCUUCACCCUGGAAACCGUUAAAAAUUAAGCGAAUUACUGGUAGGAAGACGUCUUACAACUCAUGUCUCGAGGUGGGUGGCGGCAUUUAUGUUGUAGAUGUCUUUGGGCUCCAAUUAUAAAAAAAAAACAUUAAUUUUGCAAAUUUGACUUUUACUAAACGAUGUAAUUAAUUAAUUCAACGUGGAAGUCGACGUUUGCUAUCGCAUAUGCGUGCUAAAUUUUUUUCAGAAACGGCUUCAGUCGGAGGAUUUGAACUUCAGCUUACUACUUACUUACUUACUUACUACUUACUUACUUGCUUACUACACUAAGCAAGUUAUUAACUCUUUUCUUUUUUAAUUAUGUUUUCUUUAAGCCCACAAACAUUUCACAAUAGAUCUUAUUGAAAAUCAUGUCGUAACGCCGACAUACAUGUAGUCCUUUCUGUGUCUCAAGAAUUCGAUGACAGCUGUAGAUUUAUACAAAAAAAUUCGUCAGGCCAUCAUCGUCAGACAUUCGCGUCAGAACGAGAUAGAGAAUAAUGAAUUCGUUCAACUUAUUUCAAACAAUGUAUAAGAAAUUUUGUGGAAAGAAAAAAAAUCAAACUUAUUACGGCGAAUGUUAUUAACUUUCACCUUUAUUGCUAAAAUUAAAGAAGCUGUUUGACAUGGCAACACAGUCGAAACGGACUAGCGGCGCCGACGAGGUGUUGUUAUGUGUUCUGAGAUCACGUGCACGAUGCCCGUAUGUUCGGAGUACUCGCUAGAUCAGCCUUGCGAUUCUCUAAAAUUCAAACAAGAACUCGCAUCUCACUACGAAAUUCUCCAUCACUUCGCAUUCGCAAUAGAAUGACCUUGAUUUGGCAUUCUGUAAACACUAAUCUUAAUUACCCUGCCUCGAGCGAAGUGAAGUGACAACGAAGUUUGUUUAUAAUAUACUAGGGAUAGCCGUAUACGCGCAAAUGUAAAUCGAAGCUUACCGGUUUCAGUUUUUCGUUGUAUUUAUAAGCAUUCUGUAAGAAAAUACUAUGAAUUUAAGCUUUGGUGUCUAAGCCACAUCUAAUAUAUCUAAAAAGAAAAUUAAAAGUCAUAUAUUUAUGAAAUUAAUUGUAAUUUCUGGAUGUACGCUAAGUUCCUUUGCGUGCACUGGCGAAUACCAGAAUUAAAAAACAAAAUUUUAAUUGUUUUCAAAACAAUCUCAAGCAGUCGGAAGUUUUUAUUUUGCUUUUUCUAGAUUUUUUGUUACUUUGUGAGUGAAUUUAACGUUAAAUAAAAAUUAUGAGACUUAACGAGCGUUCUUCUCAUCCGACAUUGGUGCAAAUAGAGGCAUUGAUAGACUUUUGGAUUAAAAGCUAGCGAAACAAAAGGUUUAAUCGUAUCUCAACAUGUUCAAUAAGAUAACAAGGAUAUUAAAAAAUAUAGGAACUAAAUUCUCUUGUCAGAUAUGAUCCAUUCCCGGAGAGAUAUUUAGGACAUGUUAACAUCUAUUUAUGUAUGAUAAAUCUAUCUACUACGUUUUUAUUGAUAUUCUAUUUUAACAGGGAAUAUCAGUAAUUUAUCUGUAUCUCAAAUUCACUGACAAAAAAAAAUUAUAUUGAAUUAAAUAAAUCAAAUCAUUAACAAUUUAGGUAUUGCAAGUUGGAUUGAUGUUGUUGGAAUGUUUUUAUUGAUGCAGAGGUGACUGUAUUUAUGGUAAAGGGGGUGGCAGGCAGUUCCAGAGUAUUGACUAAACUGAAAUUAUGUAGGCUAAAGGCUGCAUACUCUGUUUAAAAUAAAUGAACAAAAUUAAGGCAUAACCUAUUUUAUUAUAUUUAAGGAACUACAACAGAUUGAAAAUACUAAUCCACAUCAUCAGAAUAUUGUAAGGAGAAUUUAUUGCCAACUCGGAAAAUGUAUCAGUAUUGGAACAAUCCCAAACAUACAGCAUUGCAUCAAGAAACCUAUUUUGCAGUCAUCCUCCCCUAACUAAAUGCAAGUGACUUCUACUUAUUGUGAUGCUACUACUAGUAGCUCCAGCCACAGUAGGUCUCAUGUUAGUCAAGAGAUUGGGUUGUUAGCACCUCAACACUUGACCUGCUAUUUCACCACUUUUCAAUGAAAAGCAGAGUGUACUCAAAUUACAACAAAUUACACAGUACCAGGAUAUAUAACUUAAACAACCAUGGGGGAAUAAAUAGUCGACAGUCUGCAAGAAGGAUGAACUGUUGGUGGAAUUAGCAUAUGCAGCUAGGAAUUUUAAACCUGUAUUUCCACAUAUUACUGAUGCAAAUUUCAAAAUUAUUGUAUAUAACUAUUGAAUAAAACUAUAAUAAAACUA